rnacentral:rRNA from 1 species
GUCGAGCGAACAGACGAGGAGCUUGCUCCUCUGACGUUAGCGGCGGACGGGUGAGUAACACGUGGAUAACCUACCUAUAAGACUGGGAUAACUUCGGGAAACCGGAGCUAAUACCGGAUAAUAUAUUGAACCGCAUGGUUCAAUAGUGAAAGACGGUUUUGCUGUCACUUAUAGAUGGAUCCGCGCCGCAUUAGCUAGUUGGUAAGGUAACGGCUUACCAAGGCAACGAUGCGUAGCCGACCUGAGAGGGUGAUCGGCCACACUGGAACUGAGACACGGUCCAGACUCCUACGGGAGGCAGCAGUAGGGAAUCUUCCGCAAUGGGCGAAAGCCUGACGGAGCAACGCCGCGUGAGUGAUGAAGGUCUUCGGAUCGUAAAACUCUGUUAUUAGGGAAGAACAAAUGUGUAAGUAACUAUGCACGUCUUGACGGUACCUAAUCAGAAAGCCACGGCUAACUACGUGCCAGCAGCCGCGGUAAUACGUAGGUGGCAAGCGUUAUCCGGAAUUAUUGGGCGUAAAGCGCGCGUAGGCGGUUUUUUAAGUCUGAUGUGAAAGCCCACGGCUCAACCGUGGAGGGUCAUUGGAAACUGGAAAACUUGAGUGCAGAAGAGGAAAGUGGAAUUCCAUGUGUAGCGGUGAAAUGCGCAGAGAUAUGGAGGAGCACCAGUGGCUAACGCGACUUUCUGGUCUGUAACUGACGCUGAUGUGCCAAAGCGUGGGGAUCAAACAGGAUUAGAUACCCUGGUAGUCCACGCCGUAAACGAUGAGUGCUAACUGUUA